GUAAUGUUAGAAUUGGAUUUUAUGGUAGGAUGGCUGUUAUUCAUCCCAUGUGGGCGAUUGAUGAGUAGGCCAUGAUUUUUCAGAGUUGUGUUUGGUUUAAUACACCUCAACCUCUGACUAGGAUAGAAAGUAUGGAUAGGGCUAAUAUUAGAUUUAGAUUGAUUGAUGGUGAAAUCUGAUAUAGGAUUCA